rnacentral:rRNA from 1 species
UACGUAGGGUGCGAGCGUUAAUCGGAAUUACUGGGCGUAAAGCGUGCGCAGGCGGUUGUGCAAGUCAGGUGUGAAAUUCCCGGGCUUAACCUGGGAACUGCACUUGUGACUGCACGGCUGGAGUGCGGCAGAGGGGGAUGGAAUUCCGCGUGUAGCAGUGAAAUGCGUAGAUAUGCGGAGGAACACCGAUGGCGAAGGCAAUCCCCUGGGCCUGCACUGACGCUCAUGCACGAAAGCGUGGGGAGCAAACAGG